GGGUUGUGAGGUUAAGCGACUAAGCGUACACGGUGGAUGCCCUGGCAGUCAGAGGCGAUGAAGGACGUGCUAAUCUGCGAAAAGCGCCGGCGAGGUGAUAUGAACCUUUGACCCGGCGAUGUCCGAAUGGGGAAACCCAGUGCAAUUCGUUGCACUAUCGUUAACUGAAUACAUAGGUUAACGAGGCGAACCGGGGGAACUGAAACAUCUAAGUACCCCGAGGAAAAGAAAUCAACCGAGAUUCCCCCAGUAGCGGCGAGCGAACGGGGAGCAGCCCGGAGUCUGAAUCAGCUUGUGUGUUAGUGGAACGGUCUGGAAAGUCCGACGGUACAGGGUGAUAGUCCCGUACACGAAAGCACACAUGCUGUGAACUCGAAGAGUAGGGCGGGACACGUGGUAUCCUGUCUGAAUAUGGGGGGACCAUCCUCCAAGGCUAAAUACUCCUGACUGACCGAUAGUGAACCAGUACCGUGAGGGAAAGGCGAAAAGAACCCCGGCGAGGGGAGUGAAAAAGAACCUGAAACCGUGUACGUACAAGCAGUGGGAGCCUCUUUAUGGGGUGACUGCGUACCUUUUGUAUAAUGGGUCAGCGACUUAUAUUCUGUAGCAAGGUUAACCGUAUAGGGGAGCCGAAGGGAAACCGAGUCUUAACUGGGCGUUAAGUUGCAGGGUAUAGACCCGAAACCCGGUGAUCUAGCCAUGGGCAGGUUGAAGGUUGGGUAACACUAACUGGAGGACCGAACCGACUAAUGUUGAAAAAUUAGCGGAUGACCUGUGGCUGGGGGUGAAAGGCCAAUCAAACCGGGAGAUAGCUGGUUCUCCCCGAAAGCUAUUUAGGUAGCGCCUCGUGAACUCAUCUUCGGGGGUAGAGCACUGUUUCGGCUAGGGGGCCAUCCCGGCUUACCAACCCGAUGCAAACUACGAAUACCGAAGAAUGUUAUCACGGGAGACACACGGCGGGUGCUAACGUCCGUCGUGAAGAGGGAAACAACCCAGACCGCCAGCUAAGGUCCCAAAGUCAUGGUUAAGUGGGAAACGAUGUGGGAAGGCACAGACAGCCAGGAUGUUGGCUUAGAAGCAGCCAUCAUUUAAAGAAAGCGUAAUAGCUCACUGGUCGAGUCGGCCUGCGCGGAAGAUGUAACGGGGCUAAACCAUGCACCGAAGCUGCGGCAGCGACACUAUGUGUUGUUGGGUAGGGGAGCGUUCUGUAAGCCGUUGAAGGUGUCCUGUGAGGGGUGCUGGAGGUAUCAGAAGUGCGAAUGCUGACAUAAGUAACGAUAAAGCGGGUGAAAAGCCCGCUCGCCGGAAGACCAAGGGUUCCUGUCCAACGUUAAUCGGGGCAGGGUGAGUCGACCCCUAAGGCGAGGCCGAAAGGCGUAGUCGAUGGGAAACAGGUUAAUAUUCCUGUACUUGGUGUUACUGCGAAGGGGGGACGGAGAAGGCUAUGUCAGCCGGGCGACGGUUGUCCCGGUUUAAGCAUGUAGGCGGAGGUUCCAGGUAAAUCCGGUACCUUAUUAACGCUGAGGUGUGAUGACGAGGCACUACGGUGCUGAAGUGAUAAAUGCCCUGCUUCCAGGAAAAGCCUCUAAGCAUCAGGUAACACGAAAUCGUACCCCAAACCGACACAGGUGGUCAGGUAGAGAAUACCAAGGCGCUUGAGAGAACUCGGGUGAAGGAACUAGGCAAAAUGGUGCCGUAACUUCGGGAGAAGGCACGCUGAUAUGUAGGUGAAGUCCCUGCGGACGGAGCUGAAAUCAGUCGAAGAUACCAGCUGGCUGCAACUGUUUAUUAAAAACACAGCACUGUGCAAACACGAAAGUGGACGUAUACGGUGUGACGCCUGCCCGGUGCCGGAAGGUUAAUUGAUGGGGUUAGCGGCAACGCGAAGCUCUUGAUCGAAGCCCCGGUAAACGGCGGCCGUAACUAUAACGGUCCUAAGGUAGCGAAAUUCCUUGUCGGGUAAGUUCCGACCUGCACGAAUGGCGUAAUGAUGGCCAGGCUGUCUCCACCCGAGACUCAGUGAAAUUGAACUCGCUGUGAAGAUGCAGUGUACCCGCGGCAAGACGGAAAGACCCCGUGAACCUUUACUAUAGCUUGACACUGAACACUGGUCCUUGAUGUGUAGGAUAGGUGGGAGGCUUUGAAGCGUGGACGCCAGUCUGCGUGGAGCCAACCUUGAAAUACCACCCUUUAAUGGCUGGUGUUCUAACGUAGACCCGUAAUCCGGGUUGCGGACAGUGUCUGGUGGGUAGUUUGACUGGGGCGGUCUCCUCCCAAAGAGUAACGGAGGAGCACGAAGGUUGGCUAAUCCUGGUCGGACAUCAGGAGGUUAGUGCAAUGGCAUAAGCCAGCUUGACUGCGAGCGUGACGGCGCGAGCAGGUGCGAAAGCAGGUCAUAGUGAUCCGGUGGUUCUGAAUGGAAGGGCCAUCGCUCAACGGAUAAAAGGUACUCCGGGGAUAACAGGCUGAUACCGCCCAAGAGUUCAUAUCGACGGCGGUGUUUGGCACCUCGAUGUCGGCUCAUCACAUCCUGGGGCUGAAGUAGGUCCCAAGGGUAUGGCUGUUCGCCAUUUAAAGUGGUACGCGAGCUGGGUUUAGAACGUCGUGAGACAGUUCGGUCCCUAUCUGCCGUGGGCGCUGGAGAAUUGAGGGGGGCUGCUCCUAGUACGAGAGGACCGGAGUGGACGCAUCACUGGUGUUCGGGUUGUCAUGCCAAUGGCACUGCCCGGUAGCUAAAUGCGGAAGAGAUAAGUGCUGAAAGCAUCUAAGCACGAAACUUGCCCCGAGAUGAGUUCUCCCUGAGACUUUAAGUCUCCUGAAGGAACGUUGAAGACGACGACGUUGAUAGGUCGGGUGUGUAAGCGCAGCGAUGCGUUGAGCUAACCGAUACUAAUGAACCGUGAGGCUUAACCUUACAACGCCGAAGCUGUU
rnacentral:rRNA from 1 species